GCAAGUCGGGGAUUGAACGGUAGCAAUACUUUUCAAGACCGGCGCACGGGUGAGUAACACGUAGGUAACCUACCCUCGGGCGGGGAACAACAUCGAGAAAUCGGUGCUAAUACCGCAUAAUGCAACGAGACCACAUGAUCUUGUUGUUAAAGAUUCGCAAGGAUCACCUGAGGAUGGACCUGCGCCCGAUUAGCUAGUUGGCGGGGUAAUAGCCCACCAAGGCGACAAUCGGUAGCCGACCUGAGAGGGUGAUCGGCCACACUGGAACUGAGACACGGUCCAGACUCCUACGGGAGGCAGCAGUGAGGAAUAUUGGUCAAUGGCCGAAAGGCUGAACCAGCAACGCCGCGUGAGGGAUGAAGGUCUAAGGAUUGUAAACCUCUGUUAGGAGGGACGAAUAGUUCCGUAGCGAACCUACGGGAUCUGACGGUACCUCCAGAGAAAGCCCCGGCUAACUCCGUGCCAGCAGCCGCGGUAAUACGGGGGGGGCAAGCGUUGUCCGGAAUUAUUGGGUGUAAAGGGUGCGUAGGCGGAAAUGGUAAGUCAGAAGUGAAAUACUCGCGCUUAACGCGGGUUCUGCUUUUGAUACUGCUGUUCUUGAGUGCAGAAGAGGAAGGCGGAAUUCUCGGUGUAGCGGUGAAAUGCGUAGAUAUCGAGAAGAACACCAGCAGCGCAGGCGGCUUUCUGGUCUGUAACUGACGCUGAGGCACGAAAGUGUGGGUAGCAAACAGGAUUAGAUACCCUGGUAGUCCACACUGUAAACGAUGGGCACUAGAUGUUGGACCGCAAGGUUCAGUGUCGGAGCUAACGCAUUAAGUGCCCCACCUGGGAAGUACGGCCGCAAGGUUGAAACUCAAAGGAAUUGACGGGGGCCCGCACAAGCGGUGGAGUAUGUGGUUUAAUUCGAUGCAACGCGAAGAACCUUACCUGGGCUUGACAUGCUGGUUACCAACCUGAAAGGGAAGGGACCUACGCAAGUAGGAGCCAGCACAGGUGCUGCAUGGCUGUCGUCAGCUCGUGUCGUGAGAUGUUGGGUUAAGUCCCGCAACGAGCGCAACCCUUGUCCUUAGUUGCCAUCAGGUAAUGCUGGGCACUCUAAGGAGACUGCCGGUGAUAAGUCGGAGGAAGGUGGGGACGACGUCAAGUCAUCAUGGCCCUUACGUCCAGGGCUACACACGUACUACAAUGGCCGGUACAACGGGGAGCAAAACCGCGAGGUUGAGCCAAUCCCUUAAAACCGGCCUCAGUUCAGAUUGCAGUCUGCAACUCGACUGCAUGAAGGUGGAAUCGCUAGUAAUCGCGGAUCAGCAUGCCGCGGUGAAUACGUUCCCGGGCUUUGCACACACCGCCCG
rnacentral:rRNA from 1 species